rnacentral:rRNA from 1 species
ACAGAGGCGGCAAGCGUUGUUCGGAAUUAUUGGGCGUAAAGAGCAUGUAGGCGGCUAUGUAAGUCGGUUGUGAAAGCCUUCCGCUUAACGGAAGAACGGCAUCUGAUACUACAGGGCUUGAGUACGGGAGGGGAGAGUGGAACUUCUGGUGGAGCGGUGAAAUGCGUAGAUAUCAGAAGGAACGUCGGCGGCGAAAGCGACUCUCUAGACCGUAACUGACGCUGAGUGUGCGAAAGCUAGGGGAGCAAACGG